rnacentral:rRNA from 1 species
GACGAACGCUGGCGGCGUGCUUAACACAUGCAAGUCGAACGGAAAGGCCUCUUUCGGGGUGUACUCGUGGGGAAAACGGGAGAAUAACGCGUGUGUAACGUGCCCUACACUGGGGUAUAACUUGGAAACUCGGGGGCUAAUACCGGAUAGGAUCCUGUUGUACAUGGGGGGGUGGGGAGAGUUGCGGCGGUUGGGGAUGGACUCGCGGCCUAUCAGCUUGUUGGUGGGGUAGUGGCUUACCAAGGCGUUGACGGGUAGCCGGCCUGAGAGGGUGACCGGCCACAUUGGGACUGAGAUACGGCCCAGACUCCUACGGGAGGCAGCAGUGGGGAAUAUUGCACAAUGGGUGGAAGCCUGAUGCAGCAACGCCGCGUGCGGGAUGACGGCCUUCGGGUUGUAAACCGCUUUCGGCAGUGACGAAGCUUUGUGUGACGGUAGUGGGUGAAGAAGCACCGGCUAACUACGUG